rnacentral:rRNA from 1 species
UACGGAGGGGGCGAGCGUUAUUCGGAAUUAUUGGGCGUAAAGGGCGCGUAGGCGGCCGUCUAAGUCAAAGGUGAAAUCCCUCGGCUCAACUGAGGAACUGCCUUUGAAACUGGAUGGCUUGAGGCCGGGAGGGGGUAGCGGAAUUCCCAGUGUAGCGGUGAAAUGCGCAGAUAUCAGGAAGAACACCCGUGGCGAAGGCGGCUCUCUGGGACGGUACUGACGCUGAGACGCGAAAGCGUGGGGAGCGAACAGG